GAAAUGCGAUAAGUAGUGUGAAUUGCAGAAUUCAGUGAAUCAUCGAAUCUUUGAACGCACAUUGCGCCCUUUGGUAUUCCAAAGGGCAUGCCUGUUCGAGCGUCAUUUGUACCCUCAAGCUUUGCUUGGUGUUGGGCGUCUUGUCUCUAGCUUUGCUGGAGACUCGCCUUAAAGUAAUUGGCAGCCGGCCUACUGGUUUCGGAGCGCAGCACAAGUCGCUCUCUCUAUCAGCAAAGGUCUAGCAUCCAUUAAGCCUUUUUUUCAACUUUUGACCUCGGAUCAGGUAGGGAUACCCGCUGAACUUAAGC
rnacentral:misc_RNA from 1 species